CAGCCGCCGCGGUAAUACGAAGGGUGCAAGCGUUACUCGGAAUUACUGGGCGUAAAGCGUGCGUAGGUGGUGGUUUAAGUCCGUUGUGAGAGCCCUGGGCUCAACCUGGGAAUUGCAGUGGAUACUGGGUCACUAGAGUGUGGUAGAGGAUAGUGGAAUUUCCGGUGUAGCAGUGAAAUGCGUAGAGAUCGGAAGGAACAUCUGUGGCGAAGGCGGCCAUCUGGGACAACACUGACGCUGAGGCACGAAAGCGUGGGGAGCAAACAGGAUUAGAUACCCCCGUAGUCCCUGUCUCUUAUAC
rnacentral:rRNA from 1 species